AAAGUCCGCCAGGCAGUCGCCGCUUGAAUUUAUUCAAGGGGAGGAAAGUCCGGGCUCCAAAGGGUAAGGUGCCAGGUAACGCCUGGGGGGUGUGAACCCACGGCCAGUGCAACAGAGAGCAAACCGCCAACCCCGCAUUGCGGGCGGUAAGGGUGAAAGGGUGCGGUAAGAGCGCACCGCGUUGGUGGCAACAUUCAACGGCAUGGUAAACCCCACCUGGAGCAAGACCAAAUAGGGUUCCUAUAGGCGUGACCCGCGCUGGAACCGGGUAGGUCGCUUGAGAUUUAUGGUGACAUAAGUCCUAGAUGAAUGGCUGUCCAUGACAGAACCCGGCUUAUGGCGGGCUUUCAAA
rnacentral:RNase_P_RNA from 1 species